rnacentral:lncRNA from 1 species
GCGCGGUUCCCGCCACGCCGGCUCCGCCUCCGCGCGGGCUGACGGCCGAGGCCCGGGCGCCGAGCGGGUCCCGAGCGCAACUCGUGCGGCGGGCGCCGGGGGGACGCGAGCCGGGCCGCCCGUCGCGGCGCCGGACGCCGAUUGCCCGCCGCUGCGGGGCCCCGGCCGCGGCCGGGAAAAGUUGGGGCGGACCGCGAGCCCGCGUGGGCCGGGCGGGAAGUGCGCGUGCCGGGCGGACUCCGGGGGCCGGAGGGACGCGAGGCUGGAUACUGUAACAGAACACUUGGAUUUUGGUGUAACCUGCCAGCAUGUUUCUGAACCUCUCCCCCGAGGAAGCGAGCGGGUAAGAAGGGUCUCUCAUUGGCCCCUGGGCCUGGAUGAACCCUCCAGCUGAGGCGAGGACUAAGAAGACCUGGACCUAAGGAGGCUCCCAUCGCUCAGCUGAAUAACUCAAGUCACCUUUACUGGAAGUCACUUUGCUGAAACUAUUGAAAGAGCCAUUCUUGAAGUUGAAGAAAAGAUCUCUCUACAGGAGAUUCUGCGCCUUGACCAGAGGAGUGUGGCCCUUCCUUCAAAAUCCUCUGUGGACACGCCCUCCUAGCGUCCCUGGGGAAAGAUGCGGCAGCUCAAGGGGAAGCCCAAGAAGGAGACGUCCAAGGACAAGAAGGAGCGGAAGCAGGCCAUGCAGGAGGCCCGGCAGCAGAUCACCACGGUGGUGCUGCCCACGCUGGCCGUCGUCGUGCUCCUGAUCGUGGUGUUCGUGUACGUGGCCACGCGCCCCACCGUCACCGAGUGAGCCCUGUGGCUGGGUGGACUCCCCCAGCAGGGAGCGGAGGUGCGGGAGGGGGCAAGCAAGAGAGAAAUGGCUUUCCUAUUCGGAGAUGUGCCUGAUGCUGAGCUCUGAGCAGAGCACCCUGUCUUCUCUGAUCUCUGACUUGAUUAAAGUUUCUCCACUUUUCUUGGGAGGGAAUAGGGAACGUUUUAUCAGUGAACAUGCCAUACACUUUAUGGUCCACUUCAUGUGCCUUUCAGACUUCAAAGCAGUGUGUGUGUUUCUUUUUUUCUUCUGAAAUCGAUGUGUAGCUCCACCUGGUGAGAGGAGGCAUCUCUGGGUCCUGAAUCGGUUGGAAUCAGCGCUCACCCCAUUCCCAUUGUUUUGAACAUGACUCUUGCCUACAUGUGUUCACAAUUUCCAAAGGGACUGUGUUUCUUCUCUGUGCUUAAUGUGAUUUGAAAUAUGUCAACUCAAAAGUGAAAUAUUUAUUUUUUGAAUAAAGGAGAUAAUAGCCUUAAACUGGAUGUUUAUCUUGCUUUGCCAGGAGGCGGCCUUGUUUUCUGUGGAGGCACAGGAAGGCGCUGUCUGUGGGGCUCCCUCUCUGGCAGUGUCCCUCUUCCCUCCACUCCUCUCCCCUGAGGCUUUCUCCACCUUCCCCCUUGACUCCCUGCUGUGAAUCACUUCCAGUAAAAUUGUGCUUUUUGACUGGAUCAUCC